GAGAGCCAAAUGAAUCGAAAGGUUCGUGUUUGGUUCGGGAAGGGAUCAUGAAAUUUUUGAAAUAAAAAAACAAAUGGAAAGGUAGUCUACUUUCAU
rfam:Gossypium raimondii chromosome 2, whole genome shotgun sequence.